rnacentral:rRNA from 1 species
GGUGGGUUGGCUUGUCAGGUUGAUUCCGGUAACGAACGAGACCUCAGCCUGCUAAAUAGUCACGCCUGUUUCGGCAGGCGGCAGACUUCUUAGAGGGACUAUUAGCGAUUAUCAGCUAAUUGAAGUAUGAGGCAAUAACAGGUCUGUGAUGCCCUUAGAUGUUCUGGGCCGCACGCGCGCUACACUGACGCGUUCAACGAGCCUCCUGGUCACGAGAGGACCGGGUAAUCUUGUAAACCGCGUCGUGAUGGGGCUAGAGCUUUGUAAUUAUUGCUCUUUAACGAGGAAUGCCUAGUAAGCGCGAGUCAUCAGCUCGCGU